UACGGAGGAUGCAAGCGUUAUCCGGAAUUAUUGGGCGUAAAGCGUCCGUAGGUGGUUUAUCAAGUCUGCUGUCAAAGCGUGCGGCUUAACCGCAUAAGGGCAGUGGAAACUGAUGAACUAGAGUGCGAUAGGGGUAACAGGAAUUCCCAAUGUAGCGGUGAAAUGCGUAGAUAUUGGGAAGAACACCAGCGGCGAAAGCGUGUUACUGGGUCUGCACUGACACUGAGGGACGAAAGCUAGGGGAGCGAAAGGG
rnacentral:rRNA from 1 species